UCCAUGCCAAAGAUCUCAAGUUCAAGUGAU
rnacentral:piRNA from 1 species